GACGAACGCUGGCGGCGUGCUUAACACAUGCAAGUCGAACGGUAAGGCCCUGCUUUGGUUGGGUGCUCGAGGAGCGAACGGGUGAGUAACACGUGAGUAACCUGCCCUUGACUUUUGGAUAACUUCAGGUAACUGGGGCUCCUACCGGAUAGUAUCUCCUGCUGCAUGGUGGGGGUUGGAAAUUUUCGCCGGUUGGGGAUGGACUCGCGGCUUAUCAGCUUGUUGGUGGGGGAGUGGCUUACCAAGGCUCUGAUGGGUAGCCGGCCUGAGAGGGUGACCGGCCACAUUGGGACUGAGAGACGGACCAGACUCCUACGGGAGGCAGCAGUGGGGAAUAUUGCACGAGGGGCGGAAGCCUGCUGCAGCAAGGCCGCGUGCGGGAUGAAGGCCUUCGGGUUGGAAACAGAUUUCGCCUGUCACGAAGCGAGAGUGACGGUAAUGGGUGAAGAAGCACCGGCUAACUACGUG
rnacentral:rRNA from 1 species